rnacentral:tRNA from 1 species
CGGGGCGUGGCGCAGCUUGGUAGCGCACCUCACUGGGGGUGAGGGGGUCGCUGGUUCGAAUCCAGUCGCCCCGACCA